GNAUUUAUUGGGCGUAAAGGGAGCGCAGGCGGUUUAGUAAGUCUGAAGUUAAAGGCAUUGGCUCAACCAANGUAUGCUUUGGAAACUGUUAGACUUGAGUGCAGAAGGGGAGAGUGGAAUUCCAUGUGUAGCGGUGAAAUGCGUAGAUAUAUGGAGGAACACCGGUGGCGAAAGCGGCUCUCUGGUCUGUCACUGACGCUGAGGCUCGAAAGCGUGGGUAGCGAACAGGAUUAGAUACCCUGGUAGUNCACGCCGUAAACGCUGAGUGCUAGGUGUUAGGUCCUUUCCGGGACUUAGUGCCGACGCUAACGCAUUAAGCACUCCGCCUGGGGAGUACGACCGCAAGGUUGAAACUCAAAGGAAUUGACGGGGGCCCGCACAAGCGGUGGAGCAUGUGGUUUAAUUCGAAGCAACGCGAAGAACCUUACCAGGUCUUGACAUCCCGAUGCCCGCUCUAGAGAUAGAGUUUUUCUUCGGAACAUCGGAGACAGGUGGUGCAUGGUUGUCGUCAGCUCGUGUCGUGAGAUGUUGGGUUAAGUCCCGCAACGAGCGCAACCCUUAUUGUUAGUUGCCAUCAUUAAGUUGGGCACUCUAGCGAGACUGCCGGUAAUAAACCGGAGGAAGGUGGGGAUGACGUCAAAUCAUCAUGCCCCUUAUGACCUGGGCUACACACGUGCUACAAUGGUUGGUACAACGAGUCGCAAGCCGGUGACGGCAAGCUAAUCUCUGAAAGCCAAUCUCAGUUCGGAUUGUAGGCUGCAACUCGCCUACAUGAAGUCGGAAUCACUAGUAAUCGCGGAUCAGCACGCCGCGGUGAAUACGUUCCCGGGCCUUGUACACACCGCCCGUCACACCACGAGAGUUUGUAACACCCAAAGUCGGUGA
rnacentral:rRNA from 1 species